rnacentral:rRNA from 1 species
ACGAAGUUAGCCGGGGCGUUCUUCUGCGAGUAACGUCAUUAUCCUCCUCGCUGAAAGAGCUUUACAACCCUAAGGCCUUCAUCACUCACGCGGCAUGGCUGGAUCAGGGUUGCCCCCAUUGUCCAAUAUUCCC